AAAAUAAUUAUAUAAAA
rnacentral:sRNA from 1 species